GGAUGGGAUCAUACCAGCACUAAAGCACCGGAUCCCAUCAGAACUCUGAAGUUAAGCGUGCUUGGGCGAGAGUAGUACUAGGAUGGGUGACCUCCUGGGAAGUCCUCGUGUUGAAUUCC
rnacentral:rRNA from 1 species